rnacentral:misc_RNA from 1 species
GUAGGUGAACCUGCGGAAGGAUCAUUAUCACGUAUCCACGUAUAACCAUUGUGAACUGUACUUUACCCCUUUGUUGUGCAUGAGGUCGUGAGAUGGGUAACAUUUAAAGGCUAAGUUCUGUAGUGAUUUAUAGCCCGUUACUCUGUUUCCAUGGAAGAGAUUCAAUUCUCUAAACAUACUCGUACACUUCAGAGCGUAUUAAAAUUACUAUUUUUUGUUUAACAAUUUUAACCCAAUUUUGAACAUUGAC